rnacentral:sRNA from 1 species
UUGCAGAGGACCCAUAUUUAGUUCCCAUCACCCACAUUGGGCAGCUUGGGGAUCCAAAGCCCUUUCUGGUCUUCUACAGGCACCUGGCACUCAUGUAUAAAUACCAGCACAUACAGACAUGCACACAUAAUUUAAAAGAUAAAUCUUUAAAAGCACUGCGGUACAUUCCAAAAUGUCCUAGUAUAAAACUUCAGCCUACGGUCUUAAAUGUAAUGCAGUGUCUCUGAACAGAAUUCAUAAUUAGUAUUCAGAGGACAUCGAAAAUAUCCAUGUUGGAAAUGCUAACAGAUUUCAGCAACAGGAUAGACUUGGGCAGUCAGUCACUCUUUUAUCAUGACUACUGUCCAACAUUAAAUCAGAGUUCAUCCAAAUGUCAAGGAUGAAGCCUUUUCAUGGGGAAAAGUACCACACCACUUCCAUCUAUUGUUUAUGUGAAGCUAUCUAAGAGAAACAAAUGACAAACUUCAGAUAAUCACACUACUAGAGAUAAGAUUUCAAGUUAUUUUAAAGUGGGAUUUGAACAAGCACAAAUCCUAGUCAGAAACUGCAUUUUUCUAAUCUUUGACAAACUCAAGUUCCUACUCCCCAGCCUGCUCUCCCAAGUCUUUGCCCACAGAGUUUUAGAUGUGACUACUUGUCUAUUUAGAGAGAUAAAGAUCCACACAGUGCACUGGGAUUGCCACCUACCUAGAGUACGCUGGGACCCUGACAUCACACUUAUCCUCCAAAUCCAAAGAGCCCAUGGCAAUCUCAACCUAGAACAUCAGUUUUAGUUGGACAAUUGCUAUGGACAGAAAUUACGUGUGAGACUUUCAGAGAUUAUGAAUGCCACCUGACAGACGUGUGUGUGUGUGUGUGUGUGUGUGUGUGUGUGUGUGUGUGUGUGUGUGUGUAAACAUAUUAUACAUUGGUAAUAUACUUUUAAAUACUCAUUUUUUUUAUCUGUAUGUAUACACUACUGUUUUAUCUGUACGUGUGUGCCUGAGUUUCUGUGUGUGAGCUACAAAUGGGCAGUACCUGAACAGGGCAGAUUCCCUAGCUGGGGUCACAGGCGGCUGGACACUGCCCAGUGUGGGCGCUGGGAAGCAGACCCGCUGUAAGGGUAGUAGCUGCCAUUUGUCCAGCACUGAUGACACAUAGUAAUCCUCCAGAAUUGCAGUGACUCCCCUGAAGAGCAGCUUGGAACCCACAUUCUUCUGACGAGGGGCAUACAAUACUAUCCCUGGGGAAUGCUGCCGCAGAAACAAGCUUAUGUUUCUUACACAGGGCUUUACAAAUUCUAACUUAAAACACUAAAACUUUAUCAAUAUUACAUAGAAUAACUUGAUAUAAAAUUAGUGAAAAGCAUAAAAGUAAUGUGUUCAAAAGACCUCGAAUUUUACCUAUAACUCUGUGAGUCUAAUUGGGUUGGACAAAUCACACCUUCUUGUGUUAGGUGCACUUCAAGGUUUGUGCAUCAAUGGUAUUGUUUAGACAAUUACUAUUAAGGUAUUGUAUGAGUUCUAAGUGUAAUAUAUUCAAUAUUGUACAGAAAAAUCAUGAAUACCUACAUUGCUUUUUAUUAAAGACAAAAGAAUUUAAUUUAAAAUGCAAGCCUGAUCCUCAGAAGGUAUCAAUUCCCCAGUCUGAGCUCCAUCUCAUUUCGGCAGCCUGGCCUUUGAGCAUCUAAAGCUUUAUGUCAGAGCUCCAGCCAUAUCUCAAUGCUCUUAGUGCCUAGCACAUGCUUUGCUUCUGGAAAGGAUACUCAGGCUUCUUCCCACUCCCUUGACUGAGGCAACAGUCAUUCACUAGCCAGUCAAAGAUUCCCGAAGGAAACUCUGUUACCCAAAGACAAUAUGAAGUAAGUGCUUCCAGUGGCUGUGAUGGGCAGUUCUUGUCCUAUCACACUGGACAGCAAUUGACGGUUCCACAGUUUAUUGUCCCUGGCCCAGAAUAAAUUUGUUUUAUUAUUCUCCUAGACCAUUAUGAAAAAUACCUAAUAAAUAUUAGCUGUAAAUAUAUGCUAAUUAGAAGCUAAUUAUAUAAAUCUCAAAACUGGUUUGUUUACAAAAAUGUAAACAACAGCUGAUAUUUAUAAACAGCCUGAAAUUAAAAAAAAAAAAGUCUCCUUGUAAUGGACUAUUUAGAAAUGCUCACCUAGCAUACAGAAAACACUUUACCUACGAAGUUACUACCAGUAAUAUUUGCACCAUAUACCUAGAAUGCUUGUUCCCCCUGGAAUGGUCAUGCCUUAGGAUUUCUGACUUUAGGCUUGGACUAAUUCACAGCUAUUUAUGUGUAGUAUCUAGAACACUACUGUUUAGUAGGCACAUACUAAUUACCUGCUAAAUGGAUACAGAAUGGGAAUUAAAAGUAUUUCCAGUAACUUCUGGGUCAAAAUUGAGAUACUCUGAUUAAGCGGCAACCUUGACAGUCCAGAGAAAAAUCUUUUUACUAAAAAAAUGUAGGAUUCAGGGUAGGGAUGAGGGCUGGGAGAGGUUCUACUCUUAUCAGAUAGAGGGCUUUAGAACAAAGGACCUCCUAUUGACUGCUGUGGCUUGGCCAUCUGAUGUGAGAUCCACCUUCACACACACAAACUUCACCAGCACCACAUCCCUAAAUUAGGAACCACUAAUGGUUCCCAAGUAAUCUAGAGAUCAAUGGUCCAUUUAAGAAUUUGAUUAACCCAUAACACUGAAUCCUCCUGUGGGAAGGGGAAGGGUACAACCUUAUUAAACAUAACCUCUAGAAUACGAGGUGAAAAUUCUUUACAUAGCUUGAUAAAUUAAAGGUUUACCUUUUCUAUUCAUUCAACAAAAAUUGGUCAAAUACCUUUCCCACAUAAGGUCCAGCUCUAAACUGGAAUUGAAAAAGGAGAGAGACAAGGAUAGGUAUGUGGUUAUUAAAAGUCAUGGUACAGAAUAUGACUGCACUGAGCAAGAGAAGGUCACAAAAAUCAUAACACCAACUGAAGAAAACAUAGAUCAGUUAACUACAAAGCAAAGCAAAGGAGCCCAAAAAAAGUUAAUUGUUUUCUUGACCUGUACUUUUCAAGCUUUGUAAGGAAAUGUCUUUGUAAAGCAAGGGAGAAACCAUGCUAAGAGAGCUUUCAGACCUCUCUACUUUUUUUUGUCUUUAUUCCAGGAAGGGUUAUUAAGACACUCCACAUAGUGCUAUGAGCUAGAGAAAGCUAUGUGAAACUUAAGCACGUAUACAGCAGAGACACCAGAGAAGCGUUUAGAUAAUCACAGAGCAGAACGAGAGAACAGUGCUCCAAGGAAAUAAUGAAAGACAGCUGGCUGUCUCAGUGACACAGGAAGGUCUGAGGAUGUGGCUAAGAUGCUAUCUACCAACAACCCUAAAGUGCACUGCUUCCCCCAGUUCUCUGUUCUGCAGGCCAAGUGCAGAAAUCAGUUUAUAUUAAUACAUUGCCUCAGGACGAGUAUCAUAAUCUAUAUCUCUGUUCCAGUCUACAUCUGUAUUCAUAGCAAAGAACCAGAAUUCCAGGAAAUGACAACACUUUAAAUAAAACACAUUCCCACUAAAUUCUUUAGAAAAAUUUAAAAGGUCAGGUUAAGACCUUUCUACUCUUGACCAUUUACAAGUAAGACAACUGGAGGCCAGAUUCACUCAAGACUUCAUCAUGAACACAGUAGAUGACACAGAACUAGAAGCCCUGAGAGUUCCCAGGUUAAGACAAAGAUCACAUUUAUGGCUUUGGACUUGCCCAAUUUUUAAAAAUUAAUUGUAAUAGAUGUAAUUUCAGUUGUGAAUUAAAUUACUAAAAGAAACUCUUGUUGAUAAAUCAAAUCCUAGGGAGAUCUAUUCAAGGGUUCUGCAUGCCGUGUGCAGUUAGGUCUGUUUUAAGUUACGAUGGCAUCUUUGUGUGGCAGUGUUCCAGUCAGUAUGGGCUUAUGCUCCCUGAUCUCUCACUCACAAUCAAUCCAAUGCACAAGCAAAGUCCUGCUGUGGCUGCUUCUACCCUUCUAAGAGUACACCAAACAACCGGAGUAAUGAAGGGCUGGAGAGUACAGGUACUCCUGAGACACUGGCUGAGUGGUGCUAAUGCUUGAUACUUUUACAUAUGCUUAUUCUGUUUCUACUUUACACUCAAUGCAUACUACUUCCACUUAAACUGUUUUGUCUUGAGAAGAUGACAUACAGGCCUCUCUUCAGAGGCAGCAGCAGGAGCUGUGGCCUGGUGGGUAUUUUGUUGCACUGACUACAAAGCAGAAGUGGUUAAACUCUUUCCAUUAAGUGUGAAGUAGUAAAUAUUUUAGGUUUCGUAAGGAUAUAGAUAAGGAUCUGUCUCAACACUUAAACUUUGUUGUCUUUUCUCCAAAAAUAAAAGCUACAAAGAACAUAUAUCUGAUGCCCAGCUGCCAAAGUCUGAGUUUCAGACUGUUCACAUGCACGAUGCACUAUGCUGCAGUAUAAUUUGCUGACCCUAAUAUCAACUCAACUCUGCAGAGCCCUGCACAAUGUCUCACAGGAAAGAGUUCUAACAAGAGGCUCACUACAGAGGGUUCAUAAGGAUAGCAGACCUCUAAGAAAGCUAGUUUUUCUUGCACCAACACAGAACCAGCCACUAUCAGCCAGUUAUGCUCCAACAGUUUUAACUGUAAGAAGAAGAUGAAUAUUAAAUAAGUAAUUAUGCAUGAGCGACUGGUGCCCACUGCUUAGUAUGGGCAAUGUAGACACUAUGAAAAGGGAGCUCCAUGCCUGUUGUGGGGAUGCAGAGAACAGAGAGAAAUAGUAUAUAAUGACAACCAUAACAUACCAUGGUUUUGCAGUAGAUAUUAUUAAAUAUGUUUUAUAACACAAAGUAUGUAUCUAAAAAAAGUACAACUUCCUUAAGACAACUAAGUAAAUGUUAAAGCCAAGUCUGAUUUAAGAUUGUGGUGCUUGUCCUUUAUAAAAGAUUGAUAAUGUCUUCAACAACAGCUGUAAGGAAAAUUAAGGGAUACCAUGCACGUAAAUCUGCUCUGUUGUGGCACACAACGUGUAAGGCAAUCUUGUACACUAUAUGUUUCUUUUAGUAUUUAAGGUUAAUGAAAAAUGUUUCAAACAUUUAAGGUUAAUGAAAAUAAAUUUUCCAUGUACACCUGUUUGAGAGAAGAAUCUACAGGAAUUUUUGACUUUGUAUUAUUUUCCUUUGAGUAAAGUAAAAAAGUCUUUUAGGAACUCCUGUGGCACAGCCUUAUGUCAGACUCGUGAGGAUUGGAAAUACGAUUAUGAAUUCUCUUACCCAUACAACCCACAAUCUUGUAGUCUUGAGAUUAAGACCACCAUUUUACUGGAAGUAACUUUAAAAUACAAGUCUCCAAGGGGACCUCACAGAGCAGCCAUUACAAGGACAGUAUCAUGUUUAUUCAGUGUAGGGUGUGAUCUGAUCGUCUGAAAAGACUUACCAAAGUGUUUCUUCUAAAAGACUUUAGAAACAUUUUGUCUCCUGUACUUAGUACCAACAGUCCUUUACUGAUCUAGAGUUCCUUUCAACUGGAAACAGAAAAGUGACACCUGAAGUUUCUAGUAGAGACAGGAUUUCAUUCCCUAUAUUUAAGUCAUGUCUCCUUCUAAGGGUACCAAGGAUUCAAUAAAUGAAGACAUCAAAAGGUCAAAAGCCACUAAGUAUAGAUAGCAAAAAGAGGAACUAGUCAAGGGUAGGCAUGAUUCAUUCUUGGGGAAAAGAGCACUUACCCAGGAAUUCACAAAGGGCAAUAAUCAGAUCACAUUUGUACUGCAGAGUUCAGUUUUGGAUAAAGACGGGAGAAUGUAAGCCUGAAGCAAGAGGCAGGGACCCUCAGUAUGAGGUAAAGUUUCCUGAAUCACAGCAGAGGCAGUAGGCUGGACUCAAGUGUCAGGAGGCAAAGCCCACAGGACUGGGAACAUGAUUAACACCUGGUGAAUGGAGAUCAUGCCGAGAGCCAGAGGCAUUACGACUACACUAGCUGCCCUACUCCUCUCUCCUGCCGCCACAUCAGCACUCCGGUGAAGGCAGUUAUGACCUUGUAACUUGUUCAGGCCAGGAAAAAGUGAGAUCCACUACAAGGGACACCUGAAAGUCCGGAAUUAAUUAAUUCACUAAUCUCAGCAACCAUGCUCAUUUCUUAAAGUCAGUCAUUUCUUAAAGUCUUGGUACAAAUGACUUUUGUAAAGUUGGUCAAAAUUUAAGUUCAUCGUACACAACUGCAAAAUGGUAAAAGUUGACAGGCUGAGUAGCUGGGGAUCGCAAUGUGAACUCCAGUUUAGAAUCCCUCAACACGGAGAAUUGAGAUACUAGUCAUGUGGCAUCUUUACUUUAAAAGUGAAGUCAAAGCUGGCUUUGGGGACUCACGAAUGCAAUAGGCAACUUCUUCGCCCAUGACCAUGCAGCUUGCUCAGGCCAGGAAAAACGAGAUCACAAGGGACAUGUAAAGCAGAAAACGCAGUUCCUCACUGACAGCAGCCAAAUGCAAAGUAAUGGCUCUGCCAACCCAAGUUCCAGAGGCAGAACAACCUAAGGCAGUGGGUCCUUCCCCAGAAUUAACCUUGACACAACCCAUAUCAAGCAGAAUAAACAAACCUUCCCUUUGGACCACCGAAAACUAGGGUUACCAAAACGGCCUAAUUAAGGCUACCAUGAAUAAUCUAGUAAGAAACCGUACAAGUCAUCUCAAAUGUGUGUCCACUUAGGAGCAUGCAAACUGUAAGUUCCGAGAUCUCUGUAAUGUGCAUCGAGACCUGCAGAUAGAGGAUUUCAUCAAAGACACUGUGAGAAAGUCCCAGGAGAAACGAUGGGAGAGAAACACCUAAGUACACACCUGAAGAAUUUUAUUUCUUACAGCUCACGGACCAAUACUUUCUAUUUGGAGAGUUAUCAAGUGUUGUGUGUAAGCUUGCUAAUCUCUUUCUAGCGUGCAAGGGAGAAUUAAAAAAUCAUGGUUAAUAAUUAGAAGCAAGGGAAACCCCCUUUCAUCUUCAAUAUACUCAACUUUUACAAAACUAUAACUACCUUGGUCACCAACAAUUGUAUGGGGCAGGCAAAAUAAUGCCUUCAAAACAUUAGCUUAGUAGACACUCAUGACUCUACAGCAUUUUGCAAAUGAGGAAACAGGGAUUUCACAUAGGAGGAACCAAGCAAAGACUAUUUUCAGAAUCUGUGCUUUGUCUGACUUUUAUACCUAAGUUCCUCUUUGAGCUAAUAUUAUAUUCAUGGUCAUUGAGAAAAUGAGAAAUCGUUUUCAAGUGGAGGGGGCGGUACUUUAAAAGACUCGAUAAGAAGAAAAGUAGAGAACAAAAGAGUAUGUCUGGCUAGGUGCGAUUGGCAUGAGGUCUAGAGGCACAACGAUGAUCUAGAAGGCAAAACAGAGAAUUCGGGUUCAAGCCAACCUUGCCCCACACUGUGUUUUCUCAAUCUCACUGACCCUGAGCAAACACAGCCAACUACGUAGGUUGAAAGGGCCUCUGCUACGAGAAGACAGCCUAGGAGGAUGUGGACCAACAGACCAUGUCCAGACCUUCACGGCCCAUCCUGCUUCUGUUUAUGCUUGAGAAUUUUACAGCAACACACGCUACCAUCAGCUGAUUACAUGUCUUAACCGCUGCGCUGCCUCUGCCAGGUGACUCUAAAAGUUUCAGGAUAAUGAGGCGUUGUUGUCUUCUUUCUGAAAUGGUAACAAUACCCUCUUGCAAUAGAAUUCUUUCUUCUUUUUCUCCUGAUGCAGUUAAUGCCAAAAUGAAAGGCUCCUGACCCCUGUUAAACUCAACUACAAAUUGAGUAACCUCAAACUAUUUACAGUAGUAUAGUACUUAUGAAUUUAAUAUAAAAGAGACAUUAGGAAAGGAAAAGGUUGUAAUCAAUACAUAUCUUCUCCAGUAUCUGUGACUUUAUUAGGUAGCAAAUAUCCCAUGAGGAAACAGAGUGGGCUAUAGGCUGGGGCGCUAUCUAGGCCACAGGUCAAAGUUUGGCUCCACCGCUUCUUUACUUCCCAGGUGACUCUGGGCAAAAACAACAGACAGAGCAACCAGUAGCUAAACAACAAAAUGCACACCAGUAGCCCAUCAAACAAGACCCAACACUUUCCUCAUCUUACAAACGGAAAUUAAGGUGCAGAAAGAACAGACAUCUUAGCCAAGGUCAGCAGACGCCGAAGACAGCAGGACUGCAGAGUACCAGCUCAGUGUUCCCAUCUGCUGUAGGCAACAACUAUUUGAUUGUACAGUCACUUCUACCGGCUGAGGACGGAAGAUCCCUGGAAAAAGUAUCUUUCAACACACUACGCAGACAAGAAAAAGAUGCUGGCCGUGAUCACACUAUCGGCAUUAAACUCAUGUUCCUGGUCAUAUCUCAUAGUCUUGGUUCAGCUGAUCUAUUAAGGCUGAUCACCAUGUAUGCUCAUAUUCCAGUGUGAAACAAUAAAAGCUGAAGGGCUGAGGCCACACUUACUGCUGUCCCUCACUACUUGCAGUUUCCUUUGAUUUGAUGGCGAAUACCUAGGAAUCACAGGUGUGAGCUCUAGUUUGCAGUCACUGAACGUGGGAAAGUCAGUCAGCUGGUCCUUUUCCACAAAAGUCAA